AUUGAACGCUGGCGGCAGGCUUAACACAUGCAAGUCGAGCGGGGUGAUGGUGCUUGCACUAUCACUUAGCGGCGGACGGGUGAGUAAUGCUUAGGAAUCUGCCUAUUAGUGGGGGACAACAUCUCGAAAGGGAUGCUAAUACCGCAUACGUCCUACGGGAGAAAGCAGGGGAUCACUUGUGACCUUGCGCUAAUAGAUGAGCCUAAGUCGGAUUAGCUAGUUGGUGGGGUAAAGGCCUACCAAGGCGACGAUCUGUAGCGGGUCUGAGAGGGUGAUCCGCCACACUGGGACUGAGACACGGCCCAGACUCCUACGGGAGGAAGCAGUGGGGAAUAUUGGAAAAUGGGGGGAACCCUGAUCCAGCCAUGCCGCGUGUGUGAAGAAGGCCUGAUGGUUGUAAAGCACUUUAAGCGAGGAGGAGGCUCUUUUGGUUAAUACCCAAGAUGAGUGGACGUUACUCGCAGAAUAAGCACCGGCUAACUCUGUGCCAGCAGCCGCCGUAA
rnacentral:rRNA from 1 species